UACGUAGGGUGCAAGCGUUAAUCGGAAUUACUGGGCGUAAAGCGUGCGCAGGCGGUUGUGCAAGACAGAGGUGAAAUCCCCGGGCUCAACCUGGGAAUGGCCUUUGUGACUGCAUGGCUAGAGUGUGUCAGAGGGGGGUAGAAUUCCACGUGUAGCAGUGAAAUGCGUAGAGAUGUGGAGGAAUACCGAUGGCGAAGGCAGCCCCCUGGGAUAACACUGACGCUCAAGCACGAAAGCGUGGGGAGCAAACAGG
rnacentral:rRNA from 1 species